ACGGAGGAUGCGAGCGUUAUCCGGAUUUAUUGGGUUUAAAGGGUGCGUAGGUGGACUGUUUAGUCAGUGGUGAAAUACUGAUGCUCAACGUUAGCAUUGCCUUUGAAACUGACAGUCUUGAGAGUGAUUGAGGCAGGUGGAAUGCGUGGUGUAGCGGUGAAAAGCAUAGAUAUCACACAGAACCCCAGUGGCGAGGGCGCCUUCCAGAGCCACAACUGACACUGAAGCACGAAAGCGUGGGGAUCAAACAG
rnacentral:rRNA from 1 species